rnacentral:rRNA from 1 species
CGCCGCGUGAGUGAAGAAGGCCUUCGGGUUGUAAAGCUCGUUUCGGCCGGGAAGAAAUCGUAUCAGCUAAUACCUGGUGCGGAUGACGGUACCGGCAUAAGAAGCACCGGCUAACUACGUGCCAGCAGCCGCGGUAAAUACGUAGGGUGCGAGCGUUAAUCGGAAUUACUGGGCGUAAAGCGUGCGCAGGCGGUUUUGUAAGACAGGCGUGAAAUCCCCCGGGGCUCAAACCUGGGGAACUGCGUUUGUGACUGCAAGGCUAGAGUACGGCAGAGGGGGGUGGAAUUCCACGUGUAGCAGUGAAAUGCGUAGAGAUGUGGAGGAACACCAAUGGCGAAGGCAGCCCCCUGGGUCGAUACUGACGCUCAUGCACGAAAGCGUGGGUAGCAAACAGGAUUAGAUACCCUGGUAGUCCACGCCCUAAACGAUGUCAACUAGGUGUUGGGUGGGUAAAACCAUUUAGUACCGGAG